rnacentral:rRNA from 1 species
CACGUGAGCAACCUGCCCCUCACUCUGGGAUAAGCGCUGGAAACGGCGUCUAAUACUGGAUACGAGUUGGAGCCGCAUGGUUACCAACUGGAAAGAUUUUUUGGUGGGGGAUGGGCUCGCGGCCUAUCAGCUUGUUGGUGAGGUAAUGGCUCACCAAGGCGUCGACGGGUAGCCGGCCUGAGAGGGUGACCGGCCACACUGGGACUGAGACACGGCCCAGACUCCUACGGGAGGCAGCAGUGGGGAAUAUUGCACAAUGGGCGGAAGCCUGAUGCAGCAACGCCGCGUGAGGGAUGACGGCCUUCGGGUUGUAAACCUCUUUUAUCAGGGAAGAAGCGAAAGUGACGGUACCUGCAGAAAAAGCACCGGCUAACUACGUGCCAGCAGCCGCGGUAAUACGUAGGGUGCAAGCGUUAUCCGGAAUUAUUGGGCGUAAAGAGCUCGUAGGCGGUUUGUCGCGUCUGCUGUGAAAUCCCGAGGCUCAACCUCGGGCCUGCAGUGGGUACGGGCAGACUAGAGUGCGGUAGGGGAGAUUGGAAUUCCUGGUGUAGCGGUGGAAUGCGCAGAUAUCAGGAGGAACACCGAUGGCGAAGGCAGAUCUCUGGGCCGUAACUGACGCUGAGGAGCGAAAGGGUGGGGAGCAAACAGGCUUAGAUACCCUGGUAGUCCACCCCGUAAACGUUGGGAACUAGUUGUGGGGUCCUUUCCACGGAUUCCGUGACGCAGCUAACGCAUUAAGUUCCCCGCCUGGGGAGUACGGCCGCAAGGCUAAAACUCAAAGGAAUUGACGGGGACCCGCACAAGCGGCGGAGCAUGCGGAUUAAUUCGAUGCAACGCGAAGAACCUUACCAAGGCUUGACAUACACCAGAACACCGUAGAAAUAUGGGACUCUUUGGACACUGGUGAACAGGUGGUGCAUGGUUGUCGUCAGCUCGUGUCGUGAGAUGUUGGGUUAAGUCCCGCAACGAGCGCAACCCUCGUUCUAUGUUGCCAGCACGUAAUGGUGGGAACUCAUGGGAUACUGCCGGGGUCAACUCGGAGGAAGGUGGGGAUGACGUCAAAUCAUCAUGCCCCUUAUGUCUUGGGCUUCACGCAUGCUACAAUGGCCGGUACAAAGGGCUGCAAUACCGUGAGGUGGAGCGAAUCCCAAAAAGCCGGUCCCAGUUCGGAUUGAGGUCUGCAACUCGACCUCAUGAAGUCGGAGUCGCUAGUAAUCGCAGAUCAGCAACGCUGCGGUGAAUACGUUCCCGGGUCUUGUACACACCGCC